rnacentral:rRNA from 1 species
ACGGCUCAGUAACACGUGGACAACCUGCCCUAAGGUCUGGCAUAACUCCGGGAAACUGGGGAUAAUUCCAGAUGGACCAUAGAUACUGGAAUGUUCUGUGGUCAAAAGCUCCGGCGCCUUAGGAUGGAUCUGCGGCCUAUCAGGUAGUAGUGGGUGUAACGUACCUACUAGCCUACGACGGGUACGGGUUGUGAGAGCAAGAGCCCGGAGAUGGAUUCUGAGACAUGAAUCCAGGCCCUACGGGGCGCAGCAGGCGCGAAAACUUUACAAUGCGGGAAACCGCGACAAGGGGACACUGAGUGCCAGCACCAUGUGUUGGCUGUCCGCAUGUAUAAAUCACAUGUGUCAGCAAGGGCCGGGCAAGACCGGUGCCAGCCGCCGCGGUAACACCGGCGGCCCGAGUGGUGGCCAUUAUUAUUGGGUCUAAAGGGUCCGUAGCCGGUUUGAUCAGUCUUCCGGGAAAUCUGACAGCUCAACUGUUAGGCUUCUGGGGGAUACUGUCAGACUUGGAACCGGGAGAGGUAAGAGGUACUACAGGGGUAGGAGUGAAAUCUUGUAAUCCUUGUGGGACCACCAGUGGCGAAGGCGUCUUACCAGAACGGGUUCGACGGUGAGGGACGAAAGCUGGGGGCACGAACCGGAUUAGAUACCCGGGUAGUCCCAGCCGUAAACGAUGCUCGCUAGGUGUCUGGGAUGGUGCGACCGUUUCAGGUGCCGCAGGGAAGCCGUGAAGCGAGCCACCUGGGAAGUACGGCCGCAAGGCUGAAACUUAAAGGAAUUGGCGGGGGAGCAC